AAUUCAAGAUGAGAGUUUGAUCCUGGCUCAGGACGAACGCUGGCGGCGUGCCUAAUACAUGCA
rnacentral:rRNA from 1 species